AUUGAACGCUGGCGGCAGGCUUAACACAUGCAAGUCGAGCGGGGGAAGGUAGCUUGCUACCGGACCUAGCGGCGGACGGGUGGGUAAUGCUUAGGAAUCUGCCUAUUAGUGGGGGACAACAUCUCGAAAGGGAUGCUAAUACCGCAUACGUCCUACGGGAGAAAGCAGGGGAUCUUCGGACCUUGCGCUAAUAGAUGAGCCUAAGUCGGAUUAGCUAGUUGGUGGGGUAAAGGCCUACCAAGGCGACGAUCUGUAGCGGGUCUGAGAGGAUGAUCCGCCACACUGGGACUGAGACACGGCCCAGACGCCUACGGGAGGCAGCAGUGGGGAAUAUUGGACAAUGGGGGGAACCCUGAUCCAGCCAUGCCGCGUGUGUGAAGAAGGCCUUAUGGUUGUAAAGCACUUUAAGCGAGGAGGAGGCUACUCUAGUUAAUACCUAGGGAUAGUGGACGUUACUCGCAGAAUAAGCACCGGCUAACUCUGUGCCAGCCGCCGCGGUAA
rnacentral:rRNA from 1 species